AACAAGGCCAUUUGUUUAGUGGAAAAACCCAUAGGCCAUAACUCCAUACAAAGUAAUCCGAAGCCGCCUCCAUUACAAUCACAGUGUUCAUCUCUUGUGGUUUUUGAGUUCUCUCUAUCAACUUUAUACAACCCUACAUCAAUCGUUCUUCUUCACACAGAGGAAGAUAGAUAGGUAUAAACAUGGCGGUGGCUGCUUUUGGUCAGUUGAAUCUUGAUGAAUCGCCACUGUGGGGUUCCCGAAGUAUCGAAUGCUUUGAAAAGCUUGAACAAAUCGGUGAAGGAACUUAUGGGCAAGUGUACAUGGCCAGAGAUAAACAAACUGGGGAGAUUGUUGCUUUGAAAAAGAUACGUAUGGACAAUGAAAAGGAGGGGUUCCCUAUAACAGCCAUCCGUGAGAUUAAAAUUCUAAAGAAAUUGCAGCAUGAAAAUGUCAUUAAGCUGUUAGAGAUAGUAACCUCUCAAGGUCCUGAAGAGGAUGAACCAGAGAAGCUAGGAAUAGAUAGUAACAAGUACAAGGGAAACAUCUACAUGGUUUUUGAAUACAUGGAUCAUGAUUUGACUGGCCUAUCGGAUCGUCCUGGGAUGCGAUUUACAGUACCACAGAUAAAGUGCUAUAUGAGGCAGCUGUUAACUGGACUUCAUUAUUGUCAUAUCAAUCAAGUACUCCAUCGCGACAUUAAAGGGUCUAAUCUUCUGAUCGAUAACGAAGGAAAUUUAAAGCUCGCUGAUUUUGGCCUUGCACGGUCAUUCGCAAAUGAUCACAAUGGGAACUUAACUAAUCGUGUGAUUACGUUGUGGUAUAGACCUCCCGAGUUGCUGCUUGGAGCAACGAAAUAUGAUCCAGCUGUUGACAUGUGGUCUGUUGGA
rnacentral:misc_RNA from 1 species